AAGAAGUUAGUUAAAUUAUAACAUAUAUUUGUCAUAUAUAAAUUAUCUAAAAGAUAUUUCUUA
rnacentral:tRNA from 1 species